AUGAUGCCCAGCUUGCUGGGUGGAUUAGUGGCGAACGGGUGAGUAACACGUGAGUAACCUGCCCCUGACUCUGGGAUAAGCGUUGGAAACGACGUCUAAUACUGGAUAUGACUGCCGGCCGCAUGGUCUGGUGGUGGAAAGAUUUUUUGGUUGGGGAUGGACUCGCGGCCUAUCAGCUUGUUGGUGAGGUAAUGGCUCACCAAGGCGACGACGGGUAGCCGGCCUGAGAGGGUGACCGGCCACACUGGGACUGAGACACGGCCCAGACUCCUACGGGAGGCAGCAGUGGGGAAUAUUGCACAAUGGGCGAAAGCCUGAUGCAGCAACGCCGCGUGAGGGAUGACGGCCUUCGGGUUGUAAACCUCUUUUAGUAGGGAAGAAGGGAGCUUGCUCUUGACGGUACCUGCAGAAAAAGCACCGGCUAACUACGUGCCAGCAGCCGCGGUAAUACGUAGGGUGCAAGCGUUGUCCGGAAUUAUUGGGCGUAAAGAGCUCGUAGGCGGUUUGUCGCGUCUGCUGUGAAAUCCCGAGGCUCAACCUCGGGCUUGCAGUGGGUACGGGCAGACUAGAGUGCGGUAGGGGAGAUUGGAAUUCCUGGUGUAGCGGUGGAAUGCGCAGAUAUCAGGAGGAACACCGAUGGCGAAGGCAGAUCUCUGGGCCGUAACUGACGCUGAGGAGCGAAAGCGUGGGGAGCGAACAGGAUUAGAUACCCUGGUAGUCCACGCCGUAAACGUUGGGCGCUAGAUGUAGGGACCUUUCCACGGUUUCUGUGUCGUAGCUAACGCAUUAAGCGCCCCGCCUGGGGAGUACGGCCGCAAGGCUAAAACUCAAAGGAAUUGACGGGGGCCCGCACAAGCGGCGGAGCAUGCGGAUUAAUUCGAUGCAACGCGAAGAACCUUACCAAGGCUUGACAUACACCGGAAACGGCCAGAGAUGGUCGCCCCCUUGUGGUCGGUGUACAGGUGGUGCAUGGUUGUCGUCAGCUCGUGUCGUGAGAUGUUGGGUUAAGUCCCGCAACGAGCGCAACCCUCGUUCUAUGUUGCCAGCGCGUUAUGGCGGGGACUCAUAGGAGACUGCCGGGGUCAACUCGGAGGAAGGUGGGGAUGACGUCAAAUCAUCAUGCCCCUUAUGUCUUGGGCUUCACGCAUGCUACAAUGGCCGGUACAAAGGGCUGCGAUACCGUAAGGUGGAGCGAAUCCCAAAAAGCCGGUCUCAGUUCGGAUUGAGGUCUGCAACUCGACCUCAUGAAGUCGGAGUCGCUAGUAAUCGCAGAUCAGCAACGCUGCGGUGAAUACGUUCCCGGGCCUUGUACACACCGCCCGUCAAGUCAUGAAAGUCGGUAACACCCGAAGCCGGUGGCCUAACCCUUGUGGAAGGAGCCGUCGAAGGUGGGAUCGGUGAUUAGGACUAAGU
rnacentral:rRNA from 1 species